rnacentral:rRNA from 1 species
AGCAGUAGCCACGGUAAUACGAAGGGUGCAAGCGUUACUCGGAAUUACUGGGCGUAAAGCGUGCGUAGGUGGUGGUUUAAGUCCGUUGUGAAAGCCCUGGGCUCAACCUGGGAAUUGCAGUGGAUACUGGGUCACUAGAGUGUGGUAGAGGAUAGUGGAAUUUCCGGUGUAGCAGUGAAAUGCGUAGGGAUCGGAAGGAACAUCUGUGGCGAAGGCGACUAUCUGGGCCAACACUGACACUGAGGCACGAAAGCGUGGGGAGCAAACAGGAUUAGAUACCCCAGUAGUCCCUGUCUCUUAUAC